rnacentral:rRNA from 1 species
UACGUAGGGGGCAAGCGUUGUCCGGAAUCAUUGGGCGUAAAGAGCGUGUAGGCGGUCCGGUAAGUCCGCUGUGAAAGUCGGGGGCUCAACCCUCGAAUGCCGGUGGAUACUGUCGGGCUAGAGUGCGGAAGAGGCGAGUGGAAUUCCUGGUGUAGCGGUGAAAUGCGCAGAUAUCAGGAGGAACACCAAUGGCGAAGGCAGCUCGCUGGGACGUGACUGACGCUGAGACGCGAAAGCGUGGGGAGCAAACAGG